AGCCCUACGGGACACCGCCAUGGGUCAGCGCCAUGGGUCACCACUAUGGGUCAGUGCUAUGGGGCAGCCCUAUAGGACACCAAUAUGGGUCAGUGCCAUGGGUCAGCGCCAUGGGUCAGCCCUACGGGAUACCUCCAUGGGGCAGCGCUAUGGGGCAGCCCUAUAGGGCACGACUAUGGGUCAGCGCUAUGGGGCAGAGUUAUGGGGCAGUGCUAUAGGACAUCUCUAUGGGUCACCGCUAUGGGGCAGCGCUAUGGGGCAGCCCCAUAGGACACCUCUAUGGGUCAGUGCCAUGGGUCACCACUAUGGGUCAGCGCCGUGGGGCAGCCCUACGGGACACCGCCAUGGGGCAGCACCAUGGGGCAGCCCUACAGGACACCUCUAUGGGGCAGUGCCAUGGGGCAGCCCUAUACGUCACCUCUAUGGGGCAGCCCUACGGGACACUGCCACGGGGCAGCGCCAUGGGGCAGCCCUAUAGGACACCUCUAUGGGGCAGCCCUAUAGGACACUGCCAUGGGUCAGUGCUAUGGGGCAGCCCUACGGGACACCGCCGUGGGGCAGCGCCGUGGGGCAGCCCUAUACGGCACCACUAUGGGUCAGUGCUAUGGGUCAGCCCUAUAGGACACCUCUAUGUGUCAGCCCUAUACGACACCCCUAUGGGUCAGCGCCGUGGGGCAGUGCCAUGGGUCACCACUAUGGGUCAGCGCUAUGGGGCAGCCCUAUACGACACCCCUAUGGGUCAGCCCUAUAGGACACCGCCGUGGGUCAGCGCCAUGGGGCAGCCCUAUAGGACACCUCUAUGGGGCAGCCCUACGGGACACCGCGGUGGGGCAGCACCGUGGGGCAGCCCCCCGGGGGCGGCGCACGCACCCCUGGCGGUCGAGGCGCUCGACGUCGUCGACGCGCAUGCCGAAGAUGAAGAGGUUCUCCUCGCCCGCCUCCUCGGCCAUCUCCACGUUGGCGCCGUCCAUGGUGCCGAUGGUGAGCGCCCCGUUGAGCAUGAACUUCAUGUUCCCCGUGCCCGACGCCUCCGUGCCCGCCGUCGAGAUCUGCUCCGACAGGUCGGCCGCCGGGAUCACUGCGCGGCA
rnacentral:lncRNA from 1 species